rnacentral:rRNA from 1 species
UACGGGGGGAGCAAGCGUUGUUCGGAUUUACUGGGCGUAAAGGGCGCGUAGGCGGUCGUGACAAGUCACUUGUGAAAUCUCCGGGCUUAACUCGGAACGGUCAAGUGAUACUGUCGGACUAGAGUACAGAAGGGGCAACUGGAAUUCUCGGUGUAGCGGUGAAAUGCGUAGAUAUCGAGAGGAACACCAGUGGCGAAGGCGGCUGCCUGGCCUGUAACUGACGCUGAGACGCGAAAGCGUGGGGAGCAAACAGG